rnacentral:rRNA from 1 species
GACGAACGCUGGCGGCGUGCUUAACACAUGCAAGUCGAACGGAAAGGCCCUGCUUUUGUGGGGUGCUCGAGUGGCGAACGGGUGAGUAACACGUGAGUAACCUGCCCUUGACUUUGGGAUAACUUCAGGAAACUGGGGCUAAUACCGGAUAGGAGCUCCUGCUGCAUGGUGAGGGUUGGAAAGUUUCGGCGGUUGGGGAUGGACUCGCGGCUUAUCAGCUUGUUGGUGGGGUAGUGGCUUACCAAGGCUUUGACGGGUAGCCGGCCUGAGAGGGUGACCGGCCACAUUGGGACUGAGAUACAGCCCAGACUCCUACGGGAGGCAGCAGUGGGGAAUAUUGCACAAUGGGCGGAAGCCUGAUGCAGCAACGCCGCGUGCGGGAUGACGGCCUUCGGGUUGUAAACCGCUUUCGCCUGUGACGAAGCGUGAGUGACGGUAAUGGGUAAAGAAGCACCGGCUAACUACGUG